GGACGAACGCUGGCGGCGUGCCUAAUACAUGCAAGUCGAACGCUUCUUUCCUCCCGAGUGCUUGCACUCAAUUGGAAAGAGGAGUGGCGGACGGGUGAGUAACACGUGGGUAACCUACCCAUCAGAGGGGGAUAACACUUGGAAACAGGUGCUAAUACCGCAUAACAGUUUAUGCCGCAUGGCAUAAGAGUGAAAGGCGCUUUCGGGUGUCGCUGAUGGAUGGACCCGCGGUGCAUUAGCUAGUUGGUGAGGUAACGGCUCACCAAGGCCACGAUGCAUAGCCGACCUGAGAGGGUGAUCGGCCACACUGGGACUGAGACACGGCCCAGACUCCUACGGGAGGCAGCAGUAGGGAAUCUUCGGCAAUGGACGAAAGUCUGACCGAGCAACGCCGCGUGAGUGAAGAAGGUCUUCGGAUCGUAAAACUCUGUUGUUAGAGAAGAACAAGGACGUUAGUAACUGAACGUCUCCUGACGGUACCUAAACAGAAAGCCACGGCUAACUACGUG
rnacentral:rRNA from 1 species